rnacentral:rRNA from 1 species
AUUGAACGCUGGCGGCAGGCCUAACACAUGCAAGUCGAACGGUAACAGGAAGAAGCUUGCUUCUUUGCUGACGAGUGGCGGACGGGUGAGUAAUGUCUGGGAAACUGCCUGAUGGAGGGGGAUAACUACUGGAAACGGUAGCUAAUACCGCAUAACGUCGCAAGACCAAAGAGGGGGACCUUCGGGCCUCUUGCCAUCGGAUGUGCCCAGAUGGGAUUAGCUUGUUGGUGGGGUAACGGCUCACCAAGGCGACGAUCCCUAGCUGGUCUGAGAGGAUGACCAGCCACACUGGAACUGAGACACGGUCCAGACUCCUACGGGAGGCAGCAGUGGGGAAUAUUGCACAAUGGGCGCAAGCCUGAUGCAGCCAUGCCGCGUGUAUGAAGAAGGCCUUCGGGUUGUAAAGUACUUUCAGCGGGGAGGAAGGGAGUAAAGUUAAUACCUUUGCUUAUUGACGUUACCCGCAGAAGAAGCACCGGCUAACUCCGUG